rnacentral:sRNA from 1 species
GGCAAGUUAUUUUCUUACAUACUUUCUCAUAACAGAGAUAGAGAGAGUGGGAGCGAGAGAGCUUUAGUUUCAAGCCCCCAAAAAUUAGUUGGGGGUUUCAUGAGAGCCAAAUUGAAUUUUUUUUUGCAACAACAAACUCCCACAAAUGUUGUAGUAAAUUUGCCAAAACAGACAAGUUUGCAAAAAAAUAUAACAACUACUGUGGUGAUGGAGAUGUGAGUGAAAAGUCUCCCCAAAACCGAGAAAGAGAGAGAGAGAGAGCAAGCAACAACCGGCAUUAUUGCAAACAAUAACAACAAACCCCCCAAGCACAACAAGAAAAUAUUAACAACACUCUAAGCAGCCCCAAUCUCAAUCGCUCUCUCCCCUCUCACCCCUCUAUCCAACCAUCAACCACACCCCCCAAAACAAACCAAAUAACCAAGCAAAUGUAAAAGCGCCGUCUAUGUGACGUUGCUGACGCCGUCGUUGACGUCUCUAUCACCGAGAAAAUCGGAAUGAAAAAAAAAUUCAAUUCGACGCAAAGCUUUUUUUCCACACACCAACUGAAAUAUUUCAGUGCAAAAUAAACAUGCGAGAGUGACGGACAACGCGCAACUCAACGCCACCGCCAAACCAAGAGCACCACACGCCGCCACACCAACAAUCAAAUGUGUGAACCAAUUUUAUUUGUGUUUUUAGCUUUGCUUUUGCGGUUUCGAGAGUGAAGAAGAUCCAAAAAUCAAAGGAAAAAUUUUUAAAAUUUUUUUGAAAAUAUUUUUUUUUGGUGGUCGUCGUCGUGUCCGAUAAUCGCUGACAAUUGUCUGUCAAGUUAAAAACGGCAACGAAAGAAAAAAAAAAAAAAAUAAUAAACCGCCCGUGUUUAAGUGUGAGUGUCAACCCCCAAAAUGUCCCCUCACUUUCUUUGGCAGAGGGCGUUUUCUUAACAAGAUUUACGUUUCGGCCAAGAAAAUAUUGCCGUUCAAGUCCCACCAAUUAAAGCUUAAAGCUUACUAAUGUGUAACAAGACCUAAACCAAAAGAUAAUUACUAAUUCACAAAGUGAUAAAAAUAAAAAAAAAAAAUAAUAAUUAUAAAAUCAAAACCAAAAAUAGUUAAAUAAACAUAAGACCACACCAAAGCUUUACUCAGCAGAAAACCAAAAAAAAAAA